rnacentral:rRNA from 1 species
CCUACGGGAGGCAGCAGUGAGGAAUAUUGGUCAAUGGGCGAGAGCCUGAACCAGCCAAGUCGCGUGAAGGAUGACGGCCCUACGGGUUGUAAACUUCUUUUGUCAGGGAGCAAUUGAGUCCACGUGUGGUCUUAGCGAGAGUACCUGAAGAAAAAGCAUCGGCAAACUCCGUGCCAGCAGCCGCGGUAAUACGGAGGAUUGGGGCGUUAUCCGGAUUAAUUGGGUUAAAUGGGUGCGUAGGCGGAAUAUCAAGUCAGCGGUAAAAAUUCGGGGCUCAACCCCGUCGUGCCGUUGAAACUGAGGUUCUUGAGUGGGCGAGAAGUAUGCGGAAUGCGUGGUGUAGCGGUGAAAUGCAUAGAUAUCACGUAGAACUCCGAUUGCGAAGGCAGCAUACCGGCGCCCAACUGACGCUGAAGCACGAAAGCGUGGGUAUCGAACAGGAUUAGAUACCCGUGUAGUC